AUCUAUGGCCAUGCUAUCCUGAACAAGCCAGAUCCCUCCUGAUCUCGGAAGCUAAGCAGGGUAAGGUCUGGUUAGUACUUGGAUGGGAGAACACCUAGGAAGAAGAGGUGCUGUAGGUG
rnacentral:rRNA from 1 species